AUGAGCUCGUCAGAGCCAACAGAGUCGGAGCCGAAGCUCACCAAGUCCUCCUCGUCGGACAAGAGGAGGAUGAGCUCGCCGGCGCCAUUGGAGUCAGAUCCACACGCCUCCUGCGACGGUGGCCAUCACGGCCUUGUCCCACCGACGGGCACCAAGGUUGGCCACCAGCCACUGCCAUUGCAGCCUCCGCUGGCCUUCCCCUCGCUGACCACCAGUGGGAUUCAUGGCGCCGCCGCCGCCUAUGUUGGCCACCGCCACUGGCCUCUCCCCGCUGGCCACCGAUGGAAUUCAUGGCGCUGCCUCCGCCUAGGUUGCCCACCGAUGGGAUCCAUGGCACCGCCGCCAUCGCCGCCUGGGUUGGCCACCGACGGGAUCCAUGGCUCCACCACCGAAGGGACCCGUGGCUUCGCUGCCGCCGCCUAG
rnacentral:rRNA from 1 species